rnacentral:rRNA from 1 species
CAGUAGCCGCGGGAAUGCGUAGGGUGCGAGCGUUAAUCGGAAUUACUGGGCGUAAAGCGGGCGCAGACGGUUACUUAAGCAGGAUGUGAAAUCCCCGGGCUCAACCUGGGAACUGCGUUCUGAACUGGGUGACUAGAGUGUGUCAGAGGGAGGUAGAAUUCCACGUGUAGCAGUGAAAUGCGUAGAUAUGUGGAGGAAUACCGAUGGCGAAGGCAGCCCCCUGGGAUAACACUGACGCUCAUGCACGAAAGCGUGGGGAGCAAACAGGAUUAGAUACCCCCGUAGUCCCUGUCUCUUAUAC